UCUACACUGGCUAUACAAACACCAUCUACUGUUUUUUUUAUUUAACAUGCACAUGGUUUGGGUAUGGACUUGAUGAUGUGAUUACCGCCCCAGUCUGAAAAGUCAUGAUUGAUUGGUAAACCUCUCUGAUCCAUACUUCUCAGAUUUAUACUUGAUGUGUGGGAAAUCCUUUUGACUGAACCUCUGAUCUUUAAUUAUUUACUGAUAUGGAUCAGUGGUGGGAAAUGAGGGUAAACUAGUUUCUGGUUGGUAUGCAAUUUAUGGCAAGUCAUGUGCAUGCUAACCGAGCUGCAGUAGUGGUAUGCUAAGGCAAAUGUGAAGUAAUUGAGAUCCGUACAUUUUGUCAGCAAGUGGCUUAAUUUUUUGCAGUGGUUAGUCAAUAGUAUGAAGUGAAUUUCAAACCCAUUGCAAUAUCUGUAAGAAAUGGUUCCAAUUUUUGCUGUAUGCUCUGUGAUGAGUGAAAAGACAAACACCCAGUUCAUAGAUUCUGUAUUACAACUGCGUAACUGGUGGUGUUUGACACUGCCAAACAUGCUUUUCCAUUUCUUUUCAGGGCUUUUGUGAUCAAAGAUGAAAUGAGUUCUACGGUUCAUGCUCUAGGACCUGCAGGUGGCUCACCAGAUAUCUUAUUAGUACUGCUGAAGAACUGAUGGGUUUUGGAAGUGCUUCAUCUUUGUGGGUGACUCGAUACAUUGCCUGUGCUGCUGUACUGCAUGUUUACUUCUAAGGUAGGUAGACAAGAUUUCAGCUAUACAAUUUAAAUUGGGUAUGGACAUGAUGACGUGAUUACCGCCCCAGACUGAGAAGUCAUGAGUGAUUGGUAACCCCUCUGAACCGUACCAUACACCUCAUACCCAUACUAAUGUUUCCUUGUGCCUCAACAUUUUGUUUUGCUUCUCUAGGCUCCCCUGAUGUCACUGGAUGCUGGUGUUUCUGCUUUUGUCCCAGUCUGUUUCAUGACUGGUUGAUAUCCCUCAAUGCUCGCUUGAUUUUUGUAGCGUCUUGUACUAUGAAUGUCAUGAUACUCUUCGUCUUCCGAAAUUAAUGUACUGGUAUGUUGGAUGCACAAGUAUUGUACAGAAUAAAUGGUUUCUCUUAAAUCUUGUCUUCAGAUCU